rnacentral:lncRNA from 1 species
GAUUUUGGAAGGAAAGAGAGAUAAAUACUUAUGCUAAAGUUCCUGCUGUCACAGUUUCAAGUUUUAUUUUUACAUGAGCUAAUGUUGUGACAGUCUCUGAAAAUAUACAUAGUUAAAUGCUCAAAUUAAUUAUAUUUUUAAAAGUAACUUAGAAAAUUUCUAGUAGUUCUCGUCACGGCACAGCAGAAACAAAUCUGACUAGGAACCAUGAAGUUGCGGGUUUGAUCCCUGGCCUCGCUCAUUGGCUUAAGGAUCCAGUGUUGCAGUGAGCUGUGGUAUAGGUCACAGACGCGGCUUGGAUCCUGCAUUGCUGUGGCUGUGGCUGUGGCCAGCAGCUGUAGCUCCAAUUGGGUCCUAGCCUGGGAAUCUCCAUAUGCUGCGGGUGUGGCCCUGAAAAGCAAAAAAAAAAAAAGAAAGAAAAAAAAAAAAAAGAAAAGAUAAUUUCUAGGAAUCUAUACUUUCAGUCCAGAAAAGGUUAAAGACCUAAGUAAAAAGAUGGACUUUCACAAAUACUAAUGUCAAAUCUGAAACAUAGUCUUAAGCUUAUUAAUUUAAACCUAACAAGGCUUUUAUGUGAAAGAAUGAAAAGGGCCUUCCAAAAUCAGUUUUACUUUUUAAAAAUGUUUAUUGGAGUUCCUGUGGUGGCGCAGUGGUUAACGAAUCCGAUUAGGAACCAUGAGGUUGCGGGUUCGGUCCCUGCCCUUGCUCAGUGGGUUAGAGAUCCGGCGUUGCCGUGAGCUGUGGUGUAGGUCGCAGACGCGGCUCGGAUCCCGAGUUGCUGUGGCUCUGGCGUAGGCCAGUGGCUACAGCUCCGAUUCGACCCCUAGCCUGGGAACCUCCAUAUGCCGCGAGAGUGGCCCAGGAAAUGGCAAAAAGACAAAAAAAAAAAAAAAAAAAAAUGUUUAUUGAAUCAUGGUGUUAAUUCACUGGAUGCAAUUAACAAAACAAAUUUGACAACUUUCUUAGAUUCUUUCCUAACACUACUUCCUUAACAUACAUAUACACUUAUUUAUUUUUAUUAUUUAAGAAGCUAUAGACCCAUAUGAGCACAAGAGGUCUCUGUAUAAGAUUUGCUUAAUGAUAUUUAACGAAUCACAGGAAUGCAAUUAACAUCAACUUCAACAGACUUUAUUACGAUCUUAUCUCUGGAAUAAUUUCUGAAAAUGGGGGAAAGAGAAUAGAAUUAUUAUGACAAUAAGAAAAAUACAUUAGUACUAAUUCUCAAGAUAGAACACAAACCAGAAUGCUACAUGAGAAUCUAGUUAACAUCCUCUGAUCUAAUUUCAAAUCAAUAAGUGUGAAAAAUCAUGCAUUCCACUCAAAUCAAAAUGAAAAAGAAAACUUUACCCCACGCAAUUAGAAAUUUUCCAGUAAACUCACUUAAAAUAAUUGCUCUAUGUUCUAUGAUCUAUAGGCUAUCCUUCCCACCAAAUAAACUCCCUUCCUCUUUCCUCAAGAGUAGUAAAAAGGAAAUCAAAUUCAGCAACUCAGGGAAACACUGUUGGAAAAUGAAUUAGUUACAUCACCAAAAAGAGGCCUGAAGCUCAUAAGUAUACAAAACCCACCAAUAAAUUCCUUCUCUAUCAAUAAAGCAAAGAAAGUGGAAAUGCUUAUUUCUCUUUUCUAAUUUUCAGUAUGUCCAAAAGUUUAAAUUUAAAAGCACUUUUAUGAUGCAUUUUCUUCAAGUGUAUGUUUAAUGAUUUCCUCAAAAACUGUCGGUGAUUCCUUGAAGACUACUAUUCUGGUUCUCUUUAUAAUUUAUUCUAUUCCACUCAGAGCUCAGAGUAUUUCUAGUGAAAGUGGUACAUACCAUAGUUCAAAAACUUAAGGCAGUGCUACUCAAAAUGCAGUGCUGUGAAUUGGUUACUACUAGUCUGCUAUGAAACAAAACAGCAUAAUUAACAAGACUUGCUUAUAGAAAAAAGUUUGAUUUACAUUUUGAUAUAUAUUCCUUUCUGUUUGCUACCACACAGGUCUGAAGGCCAUACUUAGGUCACUGUCCUAAGACAUUUAAAUAAAUAUCCAAUAAUAAAAAAGAAAGAACAGAAAGUACAUAAUACAAAAGAGAUUACAACUAGUAGCAAAUGUUAAAAAAAAAAUAGAGAGGUAGAGUAAGAGAAAAAAUUAAGAAGCAAGAGCCCAACUCUGAAUGAAUUAGUAGCAGUUAAAAAAAAAGUCAUUUCCUGGGAUUCUUUGUCAUUGUAAAUGGAUCACAACUUCAGUACCUUAAGGCAGAGUUACACAAAACACAACUGUACAUUGUUAGAUAAGUCCAUAAAAUUAUUUACACAAUGUUAGUAAACAAAAUAAUACCAGUUUCCAUUGUUCUACUCCAAACUCAAAAAAGUAUUCUUUAUUGACAAAAUAAUAUACUAUUAAUUUUAAAAGUCAGGAUGAAGUACUGUCUGAAGCACAAGCCUGUCUAAGGAAUAAACCUGGCUAAGUCAAAAAAAAUUGCUGUAACACAUUUUUAGUUAUCUGAAGAAAAGUUGAACAAUUCAAGUUCCUACAGUUCCUAAUUAUUGAUAUUCUAAGAAACUCCAUAUUACUGUUUCUUCAAUGUAUAUCAUUCCUACCUAUUCAAGUUGUAACGUUUCCUUAUGCACUCAAAGAUAAAUACAGUGGUUGUACUCUUAUGACACUAAUGAUAUUCUGAAGUGAGAGUUUAUAUAUAAUAGCAAGGAAAUUAGAUAUGCAGGGCUAAUAAAUAAGAAGUGAUAUAUCCAAAAUGUGCUUUUUUGGAGUUCCUGAUGUGGCUCAGCAGUUAACAAACCCAACUAGCACAUGAGGAUGCAGGUUUGAUCCCUGGCCUUGCUCAGCAGGUUAAGGAUCCAGCAUUGCCAUGAGCUGUGGUGUAGGUAGCAGACACGGCUCAGAUCCUGCAUUGCUGUGGCUCUGGUGUAGGUGGGAGGCUACAGCUCAGAAUGGACCCCUAGCCUGGGAACUCCAUGUGCCAUGGGUAUGGCCCUAAAAAGCCAAAAAAAAAAAAAAAAAUGUGCUUUUGGCAAUCACAGUUCAUUACAAACUCAUAAACUGACAGGUAAACUCAAAUAUCUAUAAAUCAUAGCAAAUGGUAUUUUCUACUAGCAUUCAUAAGAAAAAUAUAAUAUAUACAAAUGUUUUCUACUUGUAUUAUACCAUUCUUUUAAGAAAAUCAAAAUUUUAUUUUCAGUAACAUAAACUUCUACCUAAAAUAGAAUUAGUGAUAAUUCUUUUUACAUUUUUCCAGAUCAAGCAAAGAAAUAAUUACAUAACUAUGAAUAUACUUAUACUUACUUAUACUUAGCAAACUCUAUCCCAAUUGUCUCUUUCUACAAAUAUCUUUCUGACUAAACAGUACUCCUUAAGAGCUAAACAAGGAGCUUUCUCUAACUUUUAGCACAGGGUCUGACACUCGAAUGAUACUCAGUUGCUACUUGUUGAAUGAGUAAAUAUAGUGGAGAUAGUCGUUUUAAUGAUGGCCACCAAUUUCUGAAUCUCACAGUCCUGUUUCUUUGCAAUAUUUGGUAUCCCCUUGGCAUCUAUGCCUGAAGAUAAUAAGUUUCCUCUAGGUAUCCAUUUAUAAAGCCCUAGAAUUUUCAAUAGUUACUCUUAACCUAAAUUUUAUAAUUUUUGAUGCCUUAUCUCUUGCUUUGUCUCAAAGUGAAGGUGUAAAACAAAACUGAUGUUUGAAAAAGAAAUCAAUAAGAUGUUCAGAGCUGAGAUAUUAAGAGCCUAGAUGGAGGGUUUGGAACUUAAGGACACAGAGGAAUUACUAGAUUUGAGUGACACUGCAAAAAAGAAAGUAACUGAACAUGGGAAUUGAUUUUCUGUUCAAAAAGAGACCAAAAGGUAUCAAAGAUUAUCCUUAAGAUGUGAAAUUUAGAGAAAAGGAAGAAAAUGGCAUGCCUGUGGUAGUAAAAAAGUUAGGUAGUUAAAAAAACUCAAAAGAGAAGCCAGUAAGUUCUCUAUAGAUAAUAUACUAAAUUUGAAGGGCACCAGAGGACAUGAAUUAGAAAUGCCACAGGCAAGGGAUAUAGAAAGAUCUAUAAAAUAAGAAGUCCAUGGAAAGACACAAAUUGACCCUUAGACGUCACUCACACAUUAUAACAAAAUUGCAAGUAAAAACUAUUUCAGAAGACCAUUUUUCACAUUUCAGAGAAGCAAAGAUACAAAAAUUUGAAAACAAUGUGAUGGCCAGAAUACGAAAAAAAUAGACACCAUACAUUGCUCGUGGAAGUAUAAAGUGGCACAACAAUUUGGCAAUAUUUAAUAUUUACACCUGUAUAUAUCUUUUGAUCCAGUAUAUAAAGUCAUCUGUUGCUAGGUAACAAAUUAGCCCACAUUUUAGCAGCUCAAAAAAACAAACACUAGGAGAUCAACUCACAUGACAGAGUAAGAAGAUCUGCUAACCCACUAUCUAGUCAAAGUGGUGAACACAUUUAAAGAAAACAAUUUAACACCUCUGUAAAUGGUGCUAACAGCAAAGAGUAAAUAAUGGAACACCUAUCAACAAUAUCUAUAAAAAUUCAGCAAGAAAGGCAAACUUUUAUGGUAUUUAAACCAAGACCAUUCCCUUUUCUACACUUCCACCUCUGCAAAGUAAAGCAUUUACUUCAGAUUGCUGUAGCCAAGAAAACAGGACUCCAGCUUCCCCAAGUUCCCACCCAGUCAGAGACCUUUUUUCUCAGGAGGAUCAAGAUAUCACCAAAUCUCAUUUUGUCCUCCAUUGCUCACCCUAGCCUGGAGCUUACUGUUGCUGAGGCCAAGUUUUAAGCAAGUGCAGUUGAGCAGUGAGGACUCCAUUCUGUCCAGCCUCUGUUGGUUCUACAACAGGCAUAGAGCAACGGAGAGUACUAGAGACCAAACUCCCUUGCCCCAGCUUAUGACAUAGUGGUUCCACCCAGGAGUAGCAAACUAAGAGGACC